rnacentral:rRNA from 1 species
UUGAACGCUUGCGGCAGGCCUAACACAUGCCAGUCGAACGGUAACAGGAAACAGCUUGCUGUUUCGCUGACGAGUGGCGGACGGGUGAGUAAUGUCUGGGAAACUGCCUGAUGGAGGGGGAUAACUACUGGAAACGGUAGCUAAUACCGCAUAACGUCGCAAGACCAAAGAGGGGGACCUUCGGGCCUCUUGCCAUCGGAUGUGCCCAGAUGGGAUUAGCUAGUAGGUGGGGUAACGGCUCACCUAGGCGGCGAUGCCUCGCUGAUCGGCGGGGAGGACCAGCCACACUGGAACUGAGACACGGUCCAGACGCCUACGAGAGGCAGCAGUGGGGAAUAUUGCACAAUGGGCGCAAGCCUGAUGCAGCCAUGCCGCGUGUAUGAAGAAGGCCUUCGGGUUGUAAAGUACUUUCAGCGGGGAGGAAGGGAGUAAAGUUAAUACCUUUACUCAUUGACGUUACCCGCAGAAGAAGCACCGGCUAACUCCGUG